rnacentral:rRNA from 1 species
UACGGGGGGGAGCAAGCGUUUGUUCGGAUUUACUGGGCGUAAAGGGCGCGUAGGCGGCCUGUGCAAGUCAGUUGUGAAAUCUCCGAGCUUAACUCGGAACGGUCAACUGAUACUGCUCGGCUAGAGUGCGGAAGGGGCAACUGGAAUUCUUGGUGUAGCGGUGAAAUGCGUAGAUAUCAAGAGGAACACCUGCGGCGAAGGCGGGUUGCUGGGCUGACACUGACGCUGAUGCGCGAAAGCCAGGGGAGCGAACGGG